CAAACCCCUCCCAGUCCCUCUCCCAUCCCCCCUCCCAACCCAAACCAGUCCAAACCAGUCCAAACCAGUCCGAACCAGUCCGAACCAGUAAGAACCAGUAUAAACCAGUAUAAACCAGUAUAAACCAGUAUAAACCAGCAGUGCUCACCGGCCGGCCCCUCCCCCCAGUGCAGCAGGUAGAGGCAGCAGAAGAAUCCCUCGUUCCCCGCGCACAGCAGGAACAGCAGCGGCUGGGGGCGGGGCCAGAGGGGGCGGGGUCACAGCGGGACACGCCCACUCCCACUCUGGGACUGGCGUCGCACCAGUUCAGACCAGUUUGGGACUGGGAUUGUUCCCGUUCAUCCCAGUUUGGCCCAGUUCCCUCCCAGUUCAAUCCCAGUCCAUCCCAGUUCAAUCCCAGUUCAAUCCCAGUUCAAUCCCAGUUUGGCCCAGUUCCCUUUUAACCCCUCCCAGUUCAUCCCAGUUCAGACCAGUUUGGGACUGGGAUUGUUCCCGUUCCUCCCAGUUUG
rnacentral:lncRNA from 1 species